UACGUAGGGGCGAGCGUUGUCCGGAAUUACUGGGCGUAAAGGGCGCGCAGGCGGUUAUGUUAGUCUGCUGUGAAAAGCAUCGGCUUAACCGGUGUCUUGCGGCGGAUACUGCAUAGCUUGAGUACUGGAGAGGGAAGUGGAAUUCCCGGUGUAGCGGUGAAAUGCGUAGAUAUCGGGAAGAACACCGGUGGCGAAGGCGACUUGCUGGGCAGCAACUGACGCUGAGGCGCGAAAGCCAGGGGAGCAAACGGGAUUAGAUACCCGGGUAGUCCCU
rnacentral:rRNA from 1 species